GCCGCAAGGUUGAAACUCAAAGGAAUUGACGGGGGCCCGCACAAGCGGUGGAGCAUGUGGUUUAAUUCGACGCAACGCGAAGAACCUUACCCAGACUUGACAUGCAUUGGACGGGUGUGGAAACACACCUUCCCUUCGGGGCCGAUGCACAGGUGCUGCAUGGCUGUCGUCAGCUCGUGUCGUGAGAUGUUGGGUUAAGUCCCGCAACGAGCGCAACCCUUGUCCUUAGUUGCUAACGGGUAAUGCCGAGCACUCUAAGGAGACUGCCGGUGAUAAACCGGAGGAAGGUGGGGAUGACGUCAAGUCCUCAUGGCCCUUACGUCUGGGGCUACACACGUGCUACAAUGGCCGGUACAAAGGGUUCCGAUACCGCGAGGUGGAGGCAAUCCCAAAAAACCGGUCUCAGUUCGGAUUGCAGUCUGCAACUCGACUGCAUGAAGUCGGAAUCGCUAGUAAUCGCUGAUCAGCAGGCAGCGGUGAAUACGUUCCCGGGCCUUGUACACACCGCCCGUCAAGCCACGAAAGUUGGUAGGACCCAAAGUCGCUACGCCAACCGUAAGGAGGCAGGCGCCUAAGGUCAGGCCAGCGAUUGGGGCUAAGUCGUAACAAGGUAGCCGUACCGGAAGGUGCGGCUGGAUCACCUCCUUU
rnacentral:ncRNA from 1 species